AUUGAACGCUGGCGGCAGGCCUAACACAUGCAAGUCGAACGAGUGGCGGACGGGUGAGUAAUGUCUGGGAAACUGCCUGAUGGAGGGGGAUAACUAUUGGAAACGGUAGCUAAUACCGCAUACCAUCAGAUUUCCCCAGAUGGGCUUGGCUUGUUGGUGGGGUAACGGCUCACCAAGGCGACGACCCCUAGCUGGUCUGAGAGGAUGACCGGCAACACUGGAACUGAGACACGGUCACAACUCCUACGGGAGGCAGAAGUGGGGAAUAUUGCACAAUGGGCGCAAGCCUGAUGCAGCAAUGCCGGGGGUAUGAAGAAGGCCUUCGGGUUGUAAAGUACUUUCAGCGGGGAGGCGUUACCCGCAGAAGAAGCACCGGCUAACUACGUGCCAGCAGCCGCGGUAAUUC
rnacentral:rRNA from 1 species